rnacentral:rRNA from 1 species
GACGAACGCUGGCGGCGUGCUUAACACAUGCAAGUCAGGGGGCGGGGUAACCCGUCACCGGCGAACGGGUGCGGAACACGUGAGCGACCUGCCCUGGUGUGGGGGAUAGCCGGCCCAACGGCCGGGUAAUACCGCAUACGGCGCCCGCUUGGAAGCUGGAGGCGCAACUCGCAAGAUGCUCUAGGAGGGGCUCGCGGCCUAUCAGCUAGUUGGCGCGGUAACGUCGCACCAAGGCGAUGACGGGUAGCUGGUCUGAGAGGAUGGCCAGCAACAUUGGGACUGAGAGACGGCCCAGACUACUACGGGAGGGAGAAGUGGCGAAUAUUGCGCAAUGGGUGACAGCCUGACGCCGCGACGCCGAGUGGAGGAUGAGGACCUUCGGGGUGUAAACUUCUGUUGCCAGGGACGAAUGCCCAGCAACGGAGGGGUUGACGGUACCGGGUGAGGAAGCAACGGCUAACUCUGUG